CGUGCCAUUAGUUAGUUGGUAGGGUAAGUGGCCUACCAAGGCAUCGAUGGCUACGGGGUCUAAAAGGAUGAGCCCGCACACUGGUACUGAGACACGGACCAGACUCCUACGGGAGGCAGCAGUGAGGAAUAUUGGUCAAUGGGUGGAAGCCUGAACCAGCCAUGCCGCGUGCAGGAAGACGGCCUUAUGGGUUGUAAACUGCUUUUCUACGGGACGAACGGCUCUGACGCGUCAGGGAUUGACGGUACCGUAGGAAUAAGCAUCGGCUAACUCCGUGCCAGCAGCCGCGGUAAUACGGAGGAUGCGAGCGUUAUCCGGAUUUAUUAGGUUUAAAGGGUGCGUAGGCUGGGCAAUAAGUCAGUGGUGAAAGUCCGCGGCUCAACCGUGGGAUUGCCAUUGAAACUGCUGUUCUUGAGUACAGUCGAGGUAGGCGGAAUGUGUAAUGUAGCGGUGAAAUGCAUAGAUAUUACCCAGAACACCGAUUGCGUAGGCAGCUUACCAGCCUGGAACUGACGCUGAUGCACGAAAGCGUGGGGAGCGAACAGGAUUAGAUACCCUGGUAGUCCACGCCGUAAACGAUGAUCACUCGCUGUUGGCAAUAUAGAGUCAGCGGCUGAGCGAAAGCAUUAAGUGAUCCACCUGGGGAGUACGUCGGCAACGAUGAAACUCAAAGGAAUUGACGGGGGCCCGCACAAGCGGUGGAACAUGUGGUUUAAUUCGAUGAUACGCGGAGGGAACCUUACCUGGGCUUAAAUGUAGCCGGACGAUUCCGGGAAACGG
rnacentral:rRNA from 1 species